UACGUAGGGUGCAAGCGUUAAUCGGAAUUACUGGGCGUAAAGCGUGCGCAGGCGGCUUUGCAAGACAGAUGUGAAAUCCCCGGGCUUAACCUGGGGAAUUGCGAUGAAGACUGCAAGGCUAGAAUCUGGCAGAGGGGGGUAGAAUUCCACGUGUAGCAGUGAAAUGCAUAGAUAUGUCACAGAACACCAAUUGCGAAGGCAGCUUACUAUGGUAUGAUUGACGCUGAGGCACGAAAGCGGUGGGAUCAAACAGG
rnacentral:rRNA from 1 species